CCAAGAGCAGAUCUAGACUCACACACACCAAGAGCAGAUCUAGACCACACACACCAAGAACAGAUCUACACACACCAAGAGCAGAUCUAGACUCACACACACCAAGAGUGCUGAUCUGGAGGCAAUUUUGUGUAUCCGGGCCAGACCAGAGACGCAUGCGGGCCACAUCAGAGUGUGUUUGUGUGUGUGUGUGUGCCCUCUGCAGUCUGGCAGACCUGUCUCAGUGUGUGCAGUCUGCUGUGUACCGUUUGUGUGUGUGUGUGUAUGAGGGAUGGUAUGACUGAGGACCGUCACCCACGAAUGUGUCCUACAUACCAGCAUCUGGAAUGUAAAGGGAUGUUUUUGGUUUUGUUUGUCUGUAAUCAACUGUCCAGUUUGAAUGUAGCAUAAUAGUCAUGCCAGGUAACCAGUGCAGUCAUGCCAGGUAACCAGUGUAGUCAUGCCAGGUAACCAGUGUAACGUGCAGUAGUAAUCUAAGACCUUCGGACAUGUCAGUUUUCAAUUUGCCUGCUGCAUUCCAUAGUUAUGACUUGUCAAGAACAAGGAGGAGUUGGGAUCAGUGUGUGUGUGUGUGACUGCAGGAUAAGAUGUCUCACCAACGUAUGACAGUCACACACACACUCACACACAAAAGACACAACAUUUGACACACAUUCUGCGGGAUAACAGGUCUUAACAAUGUCUGACACACAUGAACACACACUUUGUGGGAUAACUGGUGUUAUAAACUUCGCAUGUACACACACACACACACACAGUGGGAUAACAGGUUUAGCUGCUUCUUGUCGUGACCAAAUGAAACCUUCAGGCAGCAGGAGCCAGCAGCCCCAUGGAGCCUGCAACUGCCAUGCUUUGGGAAAGGAAAAGGGGUGUGUGUGUGUGUGUGUGUGUGUUGCAGGUCCCCAGGUGUGUGUGUGUGUGUGUGUGUGUGUUGCAGGUCCCCAGGUGUGUGUGUGUGUGUAUUGCAGGUCCCCAGGUGUUUGGUUGCAUAUUUAUGAUAACAUUUUGUAGUCUCUCUAAUUGACCACUGUUUCUUAAGUUUCGCUCCAGAGUGGGAGAUGGGAAAAGUGAUCUCUUAUCUGUUCACAUUAUUUUCAUGUAAAAAUGAUCUACAGCUAUGAAAAAAGCUGUUAUGAUGGUAAUCAUGACUUUUGAAUAAAUUCAUGUUUAACAAUAA